rnacentral:rRNA from 1 species
UACAGAGGUCUCAAGCGUUGUUCGGAUUCAUUGGGCGUAAAGAGCUCGUAGGUGGUUUGUCGCGUUGUUCGUGAAAACUCACAGCUCAACUGUGGGCGUGCGGGCGAUACGGGCAGACUUGAGUACUGCAGGGGAGACUGGAAUUCCUGGUGUAGCGGUGGAAUGCGCAGAUAUCAGGAGGAACACCGGUGGCGAAGGCGGGUCUCUGGGCAGUAACUGACGCUGAGGAGCGAAAGCGUGGGGAGCGAACAGG